CUAGGCCUACGGGGGGCAGCAGUGGGGAAUAUUGCACAAUGGGGGAAACCCUGAUGCAGCGACGCCGCGUGAAGGAAGAAGUAUUUCGGUAUGUAAACUUCUAUCAGCAGGGAAGAAAAUGACGGUACCUGACUAAGAAGCCCCGGCUAACUACGUGCCAGCAGCCGCGGUAAUACGUAGGGGGCAAGCGUUAUCCGGAUUUACUGGGUGUAAAGGGAGCGUAGGCGGUAAUGCAAGUCAGAAGUGAAAGCCCGGGGCUCAACUCCGGGACUGCUUUUGAAACCGUGUUACUAGAUUGCAGGAGG
rnacentral:rRNA from 1 species